GCAACUCGCAUUCACAUUGGCAUGACCUGCAGCUUUUUUAGUCUGGUGUACCUUCAUCUCAGUAUACAAACGACACCUGAAGGCAGGCAUGUCUCAACAUAAACCAGUCGCACAGGAAAUGCUAAUGACCACUUCUUAGGAAGACAUUCUUGGACGGGGUCCACGUGCCUGUGAGUGUAUAUAAGGAGGUUCAGAGAUGAUGAACCUCAGUCCUGCACACUCAGGCAGCUCAAGAAGAGAAGGAGACGCACAGCAGCAGAGAUCCUUCAUAUUUGAGAAGAAUAAACCAACUGAAGACUGAGCCUUCAGUAGAUCCUCAAAAACUGAAAAGCUUUAAGAUGAAGAAGAGUGUUGCCAUCCAGUGCAUCGUUCUCCUGGCCUGCAUGGCCUUUUGCACUUCACUAGUUAUUCCAAGGUGCCGGUGUUUGAAGACCAGUAAGUCAGUAUGGAUCGCUCUCAUCGCUCAACUCAAGGUGGAUGAGCCUCGUCCACACUGCAACAGGAGAGAAGUCAUUGUCACACUGAAGGAUGGGAGUGAACGGUGUCUUGAUCCUGAGUCUAAAUUCACCAAAACGCUGCUGGAAAAACUGAAUCAGAUGAAAAAAACAGUCGUCAGCCCCCAAACAACCACAGCAUAAACCACAGUGCCAGAAUCAUCAUGAUCCACUUUGUAUGUUUAGUGCUGGUACAAGAUGUGUGGAUCAAGAAGAAGGAGCAGCACAGCCCUGGUUCUCAUCACAAAAUAGAAAUGCAACUCAUCCCUCAGUUCUGAUUAAUAAGCAUAUGUAUAUAUAUUUUAUACAUAUAUUUAUUUACUUUUGUAAAGUAUGCUGAUGUAAGACUGAUGUAAUAAAACCAUGAUUAUUUAUAUCAGAGGUGAACUUCAUGUGUAUUUUUACAAGUUUUGUUUUCUUUUUGUAUUCUGAUAUGUACAACAGUGACUCCAAAGCCGACUCAAUAAACCUCUAAGUUGUUGAGUAAGUUACAUCUUUUCACUUUAUUACAAUGACUAAUUAAUGUUUUAAUUGUAAGCAGACAAACAGGGACAUAGAAACAAGAAAAAGUGCAACCAGCACAACAACAUAAAAAAUAAAAUAAAAUGAAACAAAUAAAAUGAAAAAAAGUAAUCUCAAAAGUUAAUGUAACGAUCCUGGGUAUUUUGACCCAGCGUUUUGAGUUUUAGUUUAUUUUUAUGUUUAAGUCCUUUAGGUUUUCUAAGUUCAUCUCUAUCAUGCCUAGGUUGCCAUUAUAGUUCUUUGUUAUUAGACUCCCCUUGUGUCUUCAACCCCUGUGUUAAGUCUCCCUUGGCUGUCAUGUGUUUCAUCUCUGUGGGUCUUGUGUUGUCAAGUUCAAUUUGUCAUUUCUGCGUCUCAUUAUGUUUCCUGUUUUAUUUUGAAGAGGUCCUGUGUUCCUGUGUGUUUAGUUUUACUCUCCCCUUGUGAUGUCGCUAUGUCCAUUCAUAUCAGCUGUUUCCCCAUGUGUUUCCACUUCGCUUAUUAUCCUCUUGUAUGUAUUUAGUCUGUGUUUGCUCAUUCAGUCUUUGUCAGGUCACCUGCUAGUUCUUUUCUAUGUAUCCAUGCCAGGCCCCCAUGUUUAAGGUUUUUUCAUGUUUUAAUUUUAGUUCACCCAGUUUAGGUUAUUGUUUAGAUUCACCCAUGCCCUUGGUUCGUAUUUAUUUUGCCAGCCUUAAUAAACGGCUCGUUUUUUGUUAA